GCGCAGAUGGUGGAAUGGUAGACACGCAACUUUGAGGUGGUUGUGGGAGAAAUCCUGUGGAGGUUCGAGUCCUCUUCUGCGCA
rnacentral:tRNA from 1 species